GAGUGAGGGAACAUCUUUACGGAUAGGUUUUAGAUCUUUGCUGAUGCACUGGAGAGGUUUUAGUUGGGGGCUGUAGGUGACGGCUAGUGGAAUUCU